GAAUGAUUGUUCAAAUCCGGUAUAAAUAGAAGCCAUUCAUACACUAGAGGUAGCAUUUGCAUUUCGAAGAGCUUCAAUUCUAAAAGAAACCGAGGAGAAAAUUUCUCCAGACAAAAUUUCGAGAUUUCCAACCAUGGGAUCCGUCAAGAUUAUCCUCAUCCUGAUAGUGCUGACAGCCCUCUUGGCCCCAGUGCUGUGUCAAGCAGAAGGAAAGCCAUGCCAAGCUAAUGGCUUCAACAUUCCGGGCACGAUAUGCAAAACAGAAUGCGACAUCGUAUCCGGAAUCGGUAUUUGUAAUGCUGAGUUGAAGUGCUGCAUACUUUUCUGAUCGCAAAACAGAAUAUCUUGAAAUACAAUUGCUGAAUUGAAUCAAACAAUGAAUACAAAAUAAAGAUUUAUAAAAUUGCAAAA